UGGGGAAUAUUGCACAAUGGGCGCAAGCCUGAUGCAGCCAUGCCGCGUGUAUGAAGAAGGCCUUCGGGUUGUAAAGUACUUUCAGCGGGGAGGAAGGGAGUAAAGUUAAUACCUUUACUCAUUGACGUUACCCGCAGAAGAAGCACCGGCUAACUCCGUGCCAGCAGCCGCGGUAAUACGGAGGGUGCAAGCGUUAAUCGGAAUUACUGGGCGUAAAGCGCACGCAGGCGGUUUGUUAAGUCAGAUGUGAAAUCCCCGGGCUCAACCUGGGAACUGCAUCUGAUACUGGCAAGCUUGAGUCUCGUAGAGGGGGGUAGAACUCCAGGUGUAGCGGUGAAAUGCGUAGAGAUCUGGAGGAAUACCGGUGGCGAAGGCGGCCCCCUGGACGAAGACUGACGCUCAGGUGCGAAAGCGUGGGGAGCAAACA
rnacentral:rRNA from 1 species